GCGUGAAGUACAUAUGUCUAUGGCGUGAAUUGUCAAUUUUUGUUGGUGUAAUAAUUUCAUUGUAACAUUUUUCUAAAGUGGGAAAACCAUACUUUCCGCGGACUCGAAAAAGGGCCUCGCAAACUCUAGUACUGACACUGGCUGUACACGGAACACCAAGAAAACCUUAAUGUCAGAGAAGUAUUGAACGUAACAACCAGAACGUCAAAAAUAUUCUUUUAGCAUGGAUGAGAAAUACAACUAUAAAGGUUCACGCACAUUGCCGCGGUAACGGUGGCGAUGACUGCGACGGUUAGGUAUCUCUGCCCAUGCAUACGGGUACACUGUAUUGCAAAGAUUUUCAUUAAUAUUUAUGAA